AGGUGACGAAGUGGUUGAUGCCAUGCUUCCAAGAAAAGCUUCUAAGCUUCAGAUAACUAGGAACCGUACCCCAAACCGACACAGGUGGUUGGGUAGAGAAUACCAAGGCGCUUGAGAGAACUCGGGUGAAGGAACUAGGCAAAAUGGCACCGUAACUUCGGGAGAAGGUGCGCCGGUGAGGGUGAAGGACUUGCUCCGUAAGCCCAUGCCGGUCGAAGAUACCAGGCCGCUGCGACUGUUUAUUAAAAACACAGCACUCUGCAAACACGAAAGUGGACGUAUAGGGUGUGACGCCUGCCCGGUGCCGGAAGGUUAAUUGAUGGGGUUAGCUAACGCGAAGCUCUUGAUCGAAGCCCCGGUAAACGGCGGCCGUAACUAUAACGGUCCUAAGGUAGCGAAAUUCCUUGUCGGGUAAGUUCCGACCUGCACGAAUGGCGUAACGAUGGCGGCGCUGUCUCCACCCGAGACUCAGUGAAAUUGAAAUCGCUGUGAAGAUGCAGUGUAUCCGCGGCUAGACGGAAAGACCCCGUGAACCUUUACUAUAGCUUUGCACUGGACUUUGAAUUUGCUUGUGUAGGAUAGGUGGGAGGCUUUGAAGCGUGGACGCCAGUUCGCGUGGAGCCAUCCUUGAAAUACCACCCUGGCAACUUUGAGGUUCUAACUCAGGUCCGUUAUCCGGAUCGAGGACAGUGUAUGGUGGGUAGUUUGACUGGGGCGGUCUCCUCCUAAAGAGUAACGGAGGAGUACGAAGGUGCGCUCAGACCGGUCGGAAAUCGGUCGUAGAGUAUAAAGGCAAAAGCGCGCUUGACUGCGAGACAGACACGUCGAGCAGGUACGAAAGUAGGUCUUAGUGAUCCGGUGGUUCUGUAUGGAAGGGCCAUCGCUCAACGGAUAAAAGGUACUCCGGGGAUAACAGGCUGAUACCGCCCAAGAGUUCAUAUCGACGGCGGUGUUUGGCACCUCGAUGUCGGCUCAUCACAUCCUGGGGCUGAAGCCGGUCCCAAGGGUAUGGCUGUUCGCCAUUUAAAGUGGUACGCGAGCUGGGUUUAGAACGUCGUGAGACAGUUCGGUCCCUAUCUGCCGUGGACGUUUGAGAUUUGAGAGGGGCUGCUCCUAGUACGAGAGGACCGGAGUGGACGAACCUCUGGUGUUCCGGUUGUCACGCCAGUGGCAUUGCCGGGUAGCUAUGUUCGGAAAAGAUAACCGCUGAAAGCAUCUAAGCGGGAAACUUGCCUCAAGAUGAGAUCUCACUGGAACCUUGAGUUCCCUGAAGGGCCGUCGAAGACUACGACGUUGAUAGGUUGGGUGUGUAAGCGCUGUGAGGCGUUGAGCUAACCAAUACUAAUUGCCCGUGAGGCUUGACCAUAUAACACCCAAGCAAUUUGCGCUUAACAGCCAGAUUGCGGUGU
rnacentral:rRNA from 1 species